rnacentral:rRNA from 1 species
CCCUUAGAUGUUCUGGGCUGCACGCGCGCUACACUGAUGUACUCAACGAGUUUUCGACCUUGCCUGGAAAGGUUGGGUAAUCUUGUUAAAAUGCAUCGUGAUGGGGAUAGAUUAUUGCAAUUAUUAAUCUUCAACGAGGAAUUCCUAGUAAGCGCGAGUCAUCAGCUCGUGCUGAUUACGUCCCUGCCCUUUGUACACACCGCCCGUCACUCCUACCGAUUGAGUGAUCCGGUGAAUAAUUCGGACUGCAGCAAUGUUUGGAUCCCGAACGUUGCAGCGGAAAGUUUAGUGAACCUUAUCACUUAGAGGAAGGAGAAGUCGUAACA